UACGUAGGGACCAAGCGUUGUUCGGAUUUACUGGGCGUAAAGGGCGCGUAGGCGGCUUUAUAAGUCGGGGGUGAAAGCCUGUGGCUCAACCACAGAAUUGCCUUCGAUACUGUAUGGCUUGAGACCGGAAGAGGUAAGUGGAACUGCGAGUGUAGAGGUGAAAUUCGUAGAUAUUCGCAAGAACACCAGUGGCGAAGGCGGCUUACUGGUCCGGUUCUGACGCUGAGGCGCGAAAGCGUGGGGAGCAAACAGG
rnacentral:rRNA from 1 species